UACGUAGGUGGCAAGCGUUGUCCGGAAUUAUUGGGCGUAAAGCGCGCGCAGGCGGUUCUUAAGUCUGAUGUGAAAGCCCACGGCUUAACCGUGGAAGGUCAUUGGAAACUGGGAGACUUGAGUGCAGAAGAGAAGAGCGAAUUCCACGUGUAGCGGUGAAAUGCGUAGAGAUGUGGAGGAACACCAGUGGCGAAGGCGGCUCUUUGGUCUGUAACUGACGCUGAGGCGCGAAAGCGUGGGGAUCAAACAGG
rnacentral:rRNA from 1 species